GUCUCCCAGCAUUCUGAGACAGCUUUGUCCCAGAAGUGCUUCAUUGCACUCUUAAGUUAUUACUUUUUCUUAGGACAAUCUUGCUCAGGCUAUUUCAGUUUUCUUGACAAUCUCUUGUGAGAACUGUUCUAUUGGGGGAUGAGAUUCUUCAUCUUCUGCCUGGAAUUCUAAUAAAACAAAAGUUGUUGAAGAACAGCAAGGGAAGUCUUGCUCCCCAGCAUCAGGCACAAACCUUCAGAGUUUACCCAUUGCUGUUGAGUGGGUGAAAAUGACUAAGAAACACUCUCUGCUUUGUUUCCCACAAGAGGAGAAAAAAAAAUCUGAUGAAAAAAUAAUGAGGGAAAUGGACUAUUUUCUUUAACUUCUUUCAACCUCUCAUGUGUUGAGAACUUGAAUUACUGAGGCUGAUUCUCUUUGUGCACAGGACAAGACACAUUCUGGACAAGUUGGAGGCUGGUGGAGGAGAUUCCUUUUCUCCCAAUGCUCUUUCCUCGCCUAGCAAAGCUGGGGGCACUGAGGAGGGUGGACUAUUGUAGAUUUUAAGGUGAUCUGACCAUAUCACUGUCAUGUCAGAAUAUCAAGUUGAGUCACUUGAAUUUAAAAAGCUAUUAAUAAACAGGGCUCUAUGUUUCUCCUUCUCCUCUUAAAACACCAGUUUCUAAACACUCUGCUUUAUUUGCUCCAAUUUUGUCUUAACUACUUAUUUGUAGAAAAAUAAAUUUUACUGACCAAGCGAACUUGCUCAGUCCUACUGUUGGC
rnacentral:lncRNA from 1 species